ACAGCCCACGGCCGGUGUGCGGCCGGUGGCGGCCCCUGGCGUGCCGGGACCGGGUCUUCUCGGAGUUGGGUUGCUUGGGAAUGCAGCCCAAAGCAGGUGGUAAACUCCAUCUAAGGCUAAAUACCGGCACGAAACCAAUAGUCGACAAGUUCCAUAAGG
rnacentral:ncRNA from 1 species